AGCUGACAUAAAGUUUGGCGUAACGUGACCUUUCUCACGAGAAAGGGAACUUCACCGUGAACACAACCGGAAGUAGAUAUAGAGGAGUAUGAUUCAUUUCCAUGCAUCGGAUGGUGUAAAGAUGGUGCGAUCCUAAAACAUUUUACAAGUAGCUCAUGCUUUUUUGACAGAGCCUGUCUGACCUGCUGUACCUGUCCGCUUCACAAUGCCGCUGGUGUUGGACGCAGUGUGGGCGGUGUGGAGCAUUGGAGCUGGCGUCUAUGACUACUUUCACACCAGUGCCAUGGAAGAGAGGAUCCACACACUGGAAAACGUCCUCUCGAUCCACCAGUUUGUGAUUACGGGCCUGUCGGCAGGUCUCAUCCUGCUCAUAACCUACGUACUCUUGAGAAAACACUGACACCCCACUGACCAUGGCCAAACUCCCCCUGCAACAGGUUUUAUUGCAGGAUGCCAUCUGUACCCGGAGUUCUUUCUGUGCCUGUGCUGUCCAGAGUGAUUGGAUUAUGUGACUGCUCACACUGAAGAUCAAGCAUGUUCAGCAAUGAUCAGGACGUCCCACAU